UUGUGUAAAGGGAGAAGGGGGGAGGCUACGGAGAAGUUUUCUUGCGGGGAGCCACUAGAUGAGAAAAACAGAAUGAGUGAAUGACAGAACUUCACAGAGCGAUUUUUUUCCCCUGAGCGCUUUUUUCCACGUAUACCUUUUCGGACAUGUACACAGAAGGCGGACAAGCGACAGCACACAGGCGAUUCAUCCAUGGCCCGUGCCCCUGCCAACGCUGUGACCAGCGCGGCGGGCUGAGGUACCAACCAGCGUUGAGCAAACAGGCUGACCACCAACAUCUGGAAAGCCGAAGAGACAUUCAGUCUCCUCGGGUUAAGGACGAAGGAUGGAGGACGCCCAGAGAAGACCGAGGCAGUCACUGUAGCCCUCAGAGAUGGCCUCGGUUCCUGGGGUCUGGCCCCUUACACCAGUCUAACGACCUGCCCCGACUUUGUCGUCCAUGUGAGUUGAACUCUUCCAGGUGGGAUUAUUUGCCAGAAGCCAGCGUGACACACUGUCCGUCUUUCAGAGAGUGUGUGGUGGCGCACAGCCACUCCAAGGCACACCUCUUUAAUGGCGGGAUUCCACACCCACUCCCUCAUUUACGGGUCAAAGGACAAGGGUGUGGCUAUAGUAGGACGGUCCAAUAUGAUGUAUUUGUCGGCAACAAAGAGGAAGGAUGUGCACAUUUCGCCGGAAAUGACCAUUUGAAGCAAAAUAAUCCCAGUUUGGAACAAUUACUUGUAGCUAAUGGGCAUUGUGGACCAAAGCCUGGACCCUCCAAAGGAAAAGAGGGAAGCAAUACCAAUCAGGACUCAGGUAAUUCACCGGAGAACUGUAAUGGACACUCCCACAAAAGUUUCUUCGCAACUGAAGUCCCACAGAAACACUUUAACCAAAAGAAGGGGCCUUCUGCUCGACCCCCAGCCAUCAUCAACUCGGACGUUGACCAGAACCAGCACCAAGGUGUGGGUUUGGCAAAGCAAACGAGAGGGCAUGACGUGGUGAAGGAUCAGAUCCGACAAGUGGUGACAAAUCUAGAGGACGUCUUGGGAGGUUUAAAGCAAGUUCACGUGGAGAUGAAAGAGGUCAUCAAGCAGAUCGAUUAUCUCACGGCCAGCAUCGACCUCAGCGAGAAACCACCCAGCAUCACUCGCGGGUCUUCCAAUAAUAUUCCCGCCUCUACUCAUCAAAGAGAACUCAGGACGUCCCCUCCGCCUGAUCACAAGCACAUCCUGGUCGAGGGGUCAAGGCAUUCGGACGAAGAACGCAUCACCUUACGAACCAACUCCCCGUCGCCCAUUCAUAUGGCGUCUGUGGUCAAAACCCGCUGCUUCACCCCACCCGACCACAGCAAGGACGUCAAACACGAGAGAUCCAAUGUGAACGGGCACCCUGCAAACCACAAAGCGGACACCUCAGAGCUCCAUUCGCUGAACCUACAUUCCAAAGUUGUCAUCAGGAACAGCACGGUCCAUUCAAGAACACAAAAGCCUCCGCCGCACCCGCAAAAUGGACGGUGCGGCAACACUUCAAACCCCGUGAGGACCCUUGAAUACGCCUGGAAAGGCCACCAGAACGGCAGCAUAGUGUGAAGAAGGGGACAGAGAGUGCGGUGGUUGUCUGCCCCGGUGCCAUGGGGGGGCUGAAACAUGAGACCCUUCUGCAGUGAGUGGGGGUCAGAGUACGAGCAAGCAGGGGCACAACUCAUGCAGGAGCUGACGCCACUCAGACGUUGCAGCUGUCAGUCGGAAACGGAACAUGGUCCGAGGGUGGAGGAUGUUUCACCCUACAGAAACCUCGCACGGGGGCUCAAGCGUGGAAGUGAUUUUUUUUGGUUCUGGAACUGGCAGAUAACACGACGAAUACACUGCAACCAGAACGCGUCUGAUGACACGUUCCCGCAGCGAGAUACGCCAACGCAACUGGAGUUGGCGGGAAAAAACGUGCCGCAACAUGUCCGGCCUUUGUAGGGGCAUUAAUUAAUUUUCUGUACCAUUAAUUCUGGGCAUAGAGCGAGAGGGGGCACACUGUGGACUGAUUCAACCAGAAAACGUGAUUAAAUUACGUUGGAUGGUCCAUUACUGCAACAAAAGGGAAUAAUUUUUAGACAUCAUCUCGAGUCGUUAGCUCAUCCUUGCACAUACAGGGGACGGCGUGGCGCAGUUGGCAGCAACCUGAGGGUUCCUGGUUCGAUCCCCACCUACCACCAACUUUGUCACGUUCGUUGUGUCCUUGAGCAAGACGCUCCUGGUGGGUCACGGUCGGGGCCUCGCACGGCAGCUCCCGCCAUCAGUGUGUGAAUGAACGGGUGAAUGUGGAAAUAGUGUCAAAGCGCUUUGAGUACCUUGAAGGUAGAAAAGCGCUCUACGAGUAUAACCCAUUUACAGUGAGCUAGCACACGUGGUACAUUGCACAAAAAAAUAACCGCAAACUCAGGUUUUAAUUUUCCAAAAGGUUGCACCUUCAUUUUGUGUAUGGGGAAAAACUACCGGGCACAGUGGCUGUUACGUAUUUAGGGUCAAAACUUUGUAAUUAUUUUAUUUAGGCACUAAGGCAAUGAUUUGUAACAGACAAUCAAGGCUAUAAACCAGGGGUGUCAAUCUCAUUUUAGCUCAUUAUGGAGGAAAAUGUGUACACAGUGUUAUGAUCCGUGGCCCGUUUAAUGUUUUGUUAUUUUCUGUUAGUUUUCGACUCCCUCAGUUCCUGUUUUUGUGCACCUUUGAGUUUGUUUUAUUUAAGCCUGCCUCUGUCGGUCAGUCGGCCUGGCUUUACGCAACCGGUUACGUGAGUAUUCCUUGUCUUCUAGUCUAUGCUAAGUGUUAGCCUUAGCAGUGCGAUCGGCACCUUUUUUUUGUUUUUGGUACUUGUUUGAUUUCGAAGAAUAAAUCAUGUUCCUACCUGCACGCCUUGUCCGGAGUGGUCCGUCUGCAUCCCGGGGGAACGAACCAUGCAGUAAGCUGCGACCCCCUCGCCGUAACAGAAUGAAGCCAGGUUGACUGACAGGCAAAGGCAGGCUUAAAUAAUGCCUCUGAUUAGUGCUCGGGAAACAGGUGAGCGCCCCGAACACCAAUCAGAGACAGGUGGAAACAAUAAGCAACCAUGGUAACUAAAAACAAACUCAAGGGUGCACAAAAACAGGAACUGUGGGAGUCUAAAACUAACAGAAAAUAACAAAACAUGAUCCGGGCCACGGAUCAUAACACACAGGCGGGCCAGAAUAUUAAAAAACGUGGCGUUAAAACUAAAAAAUAAAGACAACUUCAGAUUGUUUUCUUUGGCCAAAAACAGAACAAACACAUUCUGAAAAGAUUACAAUAAAAAUAUAGAAAAAAAGAUUAGAGUUUAGAUCCAUGAAGGAAAGAAGAAAGUGAAUGAAUGUUUAUAACUGAAUAAAUGUACAUAUGCAUAAAAAUGUGUCUUCCUUUGUAUUUUUUUUUUUUUAUGAAUUAAGUAAUGUUUAUGACAACCUUUUUCCAAAACACAAUAUAGAAUGUGAGAUAUAACAGGGGGACGGCGUGGCGAAGUU